rnacentral:ncRNA from 1 species
GCAGAGUAGGAAGCCAUGUGUUUCGCAAAAGCGAUCAGUGCCGCUGGGAUGGGAAGUUGCCCACGGACGAAAAAACCAUGGUUUGCAGUAUGGCUUCCGCAUCCGCU